AUUGAACGCUGGCGGCAUGCUUUACACAUGCAAGUCGAACGGUAACAGGCCUUCGGGUGCUGACGAGUGGCGCACGGGUGAGUAAUGCAUCGGAACGUACCCAGAGGUGGGGGAUAUCGCAGCGAAAGCUGUGCUAAUACCGCAUGUGAUCUGAGGAUGAAAGCGGGGGACCGAGCAGCAAUGUUUGGCCUCGCGCCUUUGGAGCGGCCGAUGUCGGAUUAGCUAGUUGGUGGGGUAAAGGCCUACCAAGGCGACGAUCCGUAGCUGGUCUGAGAGGACGACCAGCCACACUGGGACUGAGACACGGCCCAGACUCCUACGGGAGGCAGCAGUGGGGAAUUUUGGACAAUGGGCGCAAGCCUGAUCCAGCAAUGCCGCGUGCGGGAAGAAGGCCUUCGGGUUGUAAACCGCUUUUGGCAGGAACGAAACGGUGUCCGCUAAUACCGGGCGCUAAUGACGGUACCUGCAGAAUAAGCACCGGCUAACUACGUG
rnacentral:rRNA from 1 species